ACAGGAGACGUUAAGGGCGCACGGUGGAUGCCUUGGCUUAGAGAAGCGAUGAAGGACGCGAUUAGCCGGCGAUACGCUUCGGGGAGGUGGCAAUUGACCUUUGAUCCGAAGAUGUCCGAAUGGGGAAACCCUCCCGCGCAAGCGGGAAUCCGUGGAGUAAUGUCCAUGGAAGCGCACUCAGGGAAGUGAAACAUCUCAGUACCUGAAGGAAAAGAAAACAAGAGCGAGCCGUGUUCCGCGCUGUCGAUGCUUCGACGGCAUGGAACACGUCUCUCGCGAUUCCCCAAGUAGCGGCGAGCGAAACGGGAAGAGCCCAAACCUGUCAUUUCGAUGAUGGGGGUUGUAAGGCGGAAGCGUCAUACUUGUAUGAGAAGAGUUAUCAAUCGUCGUCAUAGCGGAAGCUGCUGGAAAGCGGCGCCCCAGAGGGUAAUGGCCCCGUACGCGAAAUGACUGACGACUCUUGCUUUCGUUCUUGAGUAGUUCGAGACACGAAUAGCUCGAAUGAAUCCGCCGGAACUAACCGGCAAGGCUAAAUAUUCUCUAAGACCGAUAGUGAACCAGUACCGCGAGGGAAAGGUGAAAAGAACCCCGAGAGGGGAGUGAAAUAGAACUGAAACCGUGUGCUUACAAAGGGUUAGGGCGGGCACUUGUGUCCGUCCUAGCAUGCCUAUUGAAGAAUGAGCCUGCGAGUGUGUGUAUGCUGCAAGCUAAGCCCGUUAUGGGGCGGAGCUAUAGGGAAACCGAGCGUGAAUAGCGCGUUCGUAGCAUACAUACGACCCGAAGCCAGAUGAGCUUGCCAUGCGCAGGGUGAACGCCCCCGAAAGGGGGCGGGAGGCCCGAACCCGUAGAUCGUGCGACGUCUUGGGAUGACGUGUGGCAAGGAGUGAAAAGCUAAUCGAAUCUGGUAAUAGCUGGUUCUCUCCGAAACAGCUUUUGGGCUGGCGUUGCGUGUUCCUUCCGGGGGUAGAGCACUGGAAGGGUCAAACAGGGAGAAAUCUCGUUGACCCUAUCAACCUCCGAAUACCGGAAGCUAGAGCGCAGCAGUUAGAACGUGGGGGCGAAGCUCCAUGUCUCAAAAGGGGAAGAGCCCGGAUCGCCAGUUAAGGCCCCAAAAUCGAUGCUCAGUACAUCACAAGGAAGUGGAAAUCCAUUGACAGUGAGGAUGUUGGCUUAGAAGCAGCCACCAUUUAAAGAAAGCGUAACAGCUCACUCAUCGAGGGUUUCCGCGCCGAAGAUAAUCGGGGUUAAGCAUCGUGCCGAAACUGCGGGUGAAUUUUCCGCUUGCGGAAAAUUCGCGGUAGGAGAGCGUUCCGUUCGCGCUGAAGCUAAAGGGGUGACCCAUAGUGGAGCGUACGGAAGUGAGAAUGCAGGUACAAGUAACCACAAUGCGGGUGAGAACCCCGCACGUCGAAAGACCAAGGUUUCCGAAGCCAUGGUGAUCAGCUUCGGGUUAGUCGGGCCUAAGGGGAUGGCGAACGCCGCACCCGAUGGACACACGGUUAAUAUUCCGUGACCGCCGCAUAGGCGACGGGGUGACGGACUGCAGUAUGCAUUGCCCACUAUUGGAUGUGGGUCCGUUUCGUGAGAAGGCGCUCUUGGCAAAUCCGGAGCGCACUACUUCAAGCGAUGCGGCAACUUUCUCCUUCGGGGGAAGGGAGAGUGCAAAGCGCGGUCUCGAGAAAACCCUCUAAGCAUUCAACUAUGCGUGCGACCGUACCGCAAACCGACACAGGUGGUCAGCUCGAGUAGAGCAAGACGAACGAGUGAGAGGUCCUCAAGGAACUCGGCAAAAAAGCAGCCGUAAGUUCGCGAUAAGGCUUGCCCCGCACACCACUUUGUCCUCAACCAAGGAGAAGUGGAGAAAAGAUAUGGUCAGAAUGAGACUAGAAGACGUCAAGAGUGGAAUAGCCACUCUUCCUGGCAAGACAAUCAAGUCCAUCAAGGCAAAAAAUCCCAGAAAUAAAAUCGGGGAAAAAUUUUGCCCAACCAUAACAAUUACGUUUACCGACGGAAAGCGCAUUUCUAUCACUGGCGCAGAAACCAGUGUGCUGAAACAUCCCGCGCUUCUCGUCGAGUUGAACUGAUUUGUUCUUUAGUUAUCAAUCCGCAGAAGGUUGAGGCUAAAGUGGUGUGUGGGGCUGCAACAAAAGUUUCCCUGGCAACUGUUUACCAAAAACACAGCUCCCUGCGAACUCGUAAGAGGAGGUAUAGGGGGUGACGCCUGACCGAUGCCGGAAGGUCAACCACGGAUGGUGCGCGGUAGCAAUACUGCGUGCUGGACUGUGUAAGCCCCGGUGAAUGUCGGCGAUAACUAUAAUCGUCCUAAGGUAGCGCAAUUCCUUGUCGGGUAAAUUCCGACGUGCACGAAUGGCGUAAUGACUGGGGAACUGUCUCGAGGACUCGCUCGGUGAAAAUGCACUACCGGUGAAGAUGCCGGUUACCUGUAGUUAGACGAAAAGACCCUAGAAGCUUUACUGCAGCUUCGUAUUGGGGCUACGUGGCUCAUGCGUAGUAUAGAGGGGAGAGGUUGAAGGAAUGCUUUCGGGUGUUCUGGACUCGUCAGUGAAAUACCCUUCUUGAGUUGUGUAGUUUCUAACCGACGGGAUGAACCCCGUCGGGACCGUGCGUGGCAGGCAGUUUUGGUGGGGCGCUAUCCUCCUAAAAAGUAACGGAGGAGUCUAUUAAGGUCGGCUAGGCGCGAAUGGAAACCGUGCCGAUAGCGUAAUGGUAUAAGCCGGCUUAACUGUAAGACGUACUUGUCGAGCAGAUGCGAAAGCAGAGCAUAGUGAACCGAUGGUCCGCCUUAGACGCGGCCAGAGAUUAACGGAUAAAAGUUACUCUAGGGAUAACAGGCUAGUUCCGCCCAAGCGUCCAUAGCGACGGCGGAGUUCGGCACCUCGAUGUCGGCUCACCUUAGCGCGGGGCUGGAGCAGGUCCCAAGCGUUUGGCUGUUCGCCAAUUAAAAAGGUACGCGAGCUGGGUUCAAACCGUCGUGAGACAGGUUGGUCUCCUAUCUACUACAGGCGUUGAUUCUUGAGAGGGGUCGUCCACAGUACGAGAGGACCUGGAUGAACUGACCUCUGGUCUACCUGCUGUCGUG
rfam:Candidatus Sungbacteria bacterium RIFCSPLOWO2_01_FTLL_54_21 rifcsplowo2_01_scaffold_17949, whole genome shotgun sequence.